CCUACGGGAGGCAGCAGUGAGGAAUAUUGGUCAAUGGACGCAAGUCUGAACCAGCCAUGCCGCGUGCAGGAAGACGGCUCUAUGAGUUGUAAACUGCUUUUGUACGAGGGUAAACGCAGAUACGCGUAUCUGUCUGAAAGUAUCGUAAGAAUAAGGAUCGGCUAACUCAGUGCCAGCAGCCGCGGUAAUACGGAGGAUUCAAGCGUUAUCCGGAUUUAGUGGGUUUAAAGGGUGCGUAGGCGGUCGGAUAAGUUAGAGGUGAAAUCCCGAGGCUCAACUUCGGAAUUGCCUCUGAUACUGUUCGGCUAGAGAGUAGUUGCGGUAGGCGGAAUGUAUGGUGUAGCGGUGAAAUGCUUAGAGAUCAUACAGAACACCGAUUGCGAAGGCAGCUUACCAAGCUACUUCUGACGUUGAGGCACGAAAGCGUGGGGAGCAAACAGGAUUAGAUACCCCAGUAGUC
rnacentral:rRNA from 1 species